CCGGCAAGACAUGUAUUCCAAAUGCGUUUAAAAACCGCACAAAUCCGCCUGCAGAGCGCAGAUGCAGCGCUAAUACUUGAGUAACUGGCCGGGCAAUCCCCCCACUGCCCAGCCAGAUGAGGUCGCUAGGAUUGCGAUUUCAUACUCCUAAUGGUCUUGACCCGGCUUCUCUGGAAUCCGG
rnacentral:sRNA from 1 species